GCGUCGACCCAGACCACAUAGACAAACCUGAACCACACAAAGUGAUUACACAUUUCUUCAUAGAACAAACUGAUUCAGAAUUGCAAUUUCGUGUUGCGCCAACAUGCUUCAUGACUGAAUUUGAAUGUGGCAACGCAGCAUGGAAGAAUGGAAUUCCGAGGGAUCACUACUUAGUCUUCUUCCACGCCACCGACGCGAGGGUUGCUGCUGGGGUUUGAUAUUCCAAGGCCCGAGGCGGAGGAGGCCGUGGAAGAGAGCAAAUCCAACGAGCUGCGGCUGCGCAUCGGAGGGAGAAACCCUAGGCGAGGCUCCCGCGGCGUCAGCGGGCAGGCUGCGCCCACUGGUGGCGUUGUCACCAAGCCGCACGGGCUCGGGAGGUGGCGACCGCGCGUCGAGGCUGCGAGGGAACUGCCGGAGGCGUUCGAUGCCGGCAGGGGAGAAGGCGAGCGGGCGCGGAGCGGCGGACGGCGGGGGAGUCGCCGGAGGUUCAGAGCGUCACACCGUCAUCAGGUAACGGAGUCCGAGCACGAAGAUCCAACGGCUGAGAGUGCAUCUUCGAGUUUACUGUUACGUUGUCUACGACUGCCACAGUCAGAAAUGAACAGGGUACAAAAAGAUGGAAUAAACCUAUCAGAUUAGUGCUUCUCACAGCAUCAUAUUGCUACAUUUUUUUGCUGGGCACUGUAGCAAUUGUUUGGUUGAAUCAGUUGAUUUCUCUGUUUAUACCGUGAAAUAUAUUGGCGAGGGUACUUGGUUGUUGUA